UGGUGGAGUGAUUUGUCUGGUUAAUUCCGUUAACGAACGAGACCUCGACCUGCUAACUAGACCGGUGAACUCCUGAGUUCAGUCCGUGUCUUCUUAGAGGGACUAUCGGUGCGUAGCCGAUGGAAGUUCGAGGCAAUAACA
rnacentral:rRNA from 1 species